GAUGAACGCUGGCGGCGUGCCUAAUACAUGCAAGUCGAGCGAACAGACGAGGAGCUUGCUCCUCUGACGUUAGCGGCGGAAGGGUGAGUAACACGUGGAUCACCUACCUAUAAGACUGGGAUAACUUCGGGAAACCGGAGCUAAUACCGGAUAAUAUAUUGAACCGCAUGGUUCAAUAGUGAAAGACGGUUUUGCUGUCACUUAUAGAUGGAUCCGCGCCGCAUUAGCUAGUUGGUAAGGUAACGGCUUACCAAGGCAACGAUGCGUAGCCGACCUGAGAGGGGGAUCGGCCACACGGGAACUGGAACACGGUCCAGGGUCCUACGGGAGGCAGCAGUAUGGAAUCUUCCGCAGUAGGCGAAAGCCUGACGCAGCGACGCCGCGUGAGUGAUGGAGGUGUUCGGAGCGUAAAACUCUGUUAUGAGGGAAGAACAAAUGUGUAAGUAACUAUGCACGGCGUGACGGUACCUAAUCAGAGAGCCACGGCUAACUACGUG
rnacentral:rRNA from 1 species